UUUCCGGGCACUGGAGUCCCGCGCCACCAUCGCCGCGGGACGUGUAGCUGCCCGGCGCGCCCCCGGCGCGCGCCGCGAAUCAGUCGCGGCUCCCUUCACCUGGGCAACCCCUGGCGCUUCCUUCGCGCCGGCUGGGAUCGUUUCUCCGCGCCAUUUUCAAACUGCCCUAGCGCCGGCGCCGGUGUUUGGGGCGGAAGGAGCCAGGAAGGGAGGCAGGUUCCAGGGCGAUGCGGGCGCAGGCAGAGGGAGCGGCAGCGGGAGCUGAGAAAACUUUCAGUAUAACCACACUGUUGGAUGAUUGUAACUUGAUUCUUAACAAUCAGAUGCCACUGGGGAUGAACACUGUUUUAUGUGUAGACUAAAGACACCUCUCUUUGAAGAGUGUAAGCCCCUCAACAAAACACCUAUGAGGAUGCCUAACCAGCUGAAUAGAAGACUUCAGGACAAGCUCCUCAGCUGGCAGGAUUCCUCUUCUGAUUGGACCCCAAGUUGUUCCACAAUUUGGAUCGAAAUAAGCAGUUUUUAAACAAUACUUAAAAUGUCUGAAGAAAUUCAAGAGAUGAUUGAUCAUAGAACAAUUCGGCACGGCAUAAACGGAGAACUUGAGGUUUUGCUGUUUAGCACCUUGUCUAAGGUAAUGGGAGAUACCUUAUUGUGGGAGAUAAUUCUAGAACUCUCAGCUGCUGAGAAAAUAACUGUUAGUCCUGAGGCCACACCGUAGGCCGAUGCCUGGGACUAACACACCACCAACAGUAUUACAAGGUGAGCCUCUCAGGCCCAAUCCCACCACACCUCACAGCCCUACGUACCUCACUCAUCUGCAAUCCCAGCCUAAGUCAUUCUUUUCUCACAAACUCCUAACCCACAAGCUCCGUUUAUGCUACUUCCUCCCCUUCAGAAACAAACCCAGUGUCCCUUGUGCCCCCAAUCUGUGACCAGCCGUCCCCCUCUCUCCAAACAUUCCCCUCACUGUCUUGCCCUGAGGAAACCGACCUGGGCCCUAAGCAAACAUCGAAUGUCAGCGUCAGGAGUUGAGCAGGGGCUUCCUUACUCCCCAUUUGGUUACUUCCAAAUGAUCUCAACCCUUCCCUCCUGCAAAACCACUGUCCUUUUAAUGCUGAUGUCAUCUGGAUAGACCACCAUUUCCUACACCUUCUCACACCCCUCUGCCAACCUCCUAGUCACAUCUCUUCACUCACUAGCUCUGUUCCUGGCAAGGAGGCUUCCGUUUCACCCAGUUUCCUUCAUCCUUAGUGAUUUCAGUACCUAAGUGGUGAGCCAUCGAAAAGCCCCAACUCUCAGUUUCUUGAUUUCCACACUCCAUUGAUAUUUUCCUUUUUCCACUUCCGUCACCCAUUUUAUGGUCACACCCUGGACCUUUACGUCUCUUAAAACAUAUAAACCUUUUCAAAAAUUUCAAAUAGAAAAAUCUUUCCUACUACAGCUUCCUAUGCAUUCAGUUCAUGAACUAUAACUGCAUCUGUGAUCUACUUAGGCAUCUUAAUAUUGAAACUUUGUUGCUUUCAUUUUAAAUACAUCUUAGGGAAGAGUGGGUAUUUGUUGUCUCCUUCCUUAGCUUCCAUUUCCCCUUUUUUCCAACCCAAAGGGCCUCAUUUUCUAUAGGAAUCCUCACCAUCCCCAGUCCAAAGCAGCCAUGUGGUUUGAAAGGCUAGAUCUCAUCCCCAGGUCAAGUUCAGCAGAGCCUGUUACACCUGACCAGUCAUUAGUUCAGGGAGGGACAUGGAUCCCAGUUUGACCAAUGAAAUGCCAGAGAUUUACGAAGGACUCCUAAGCAUGAAGCUUCGUUUUUCUUCUGUGGGAGCUUUAGGGACUUGAGCUGACGAUGUGAGAGGAAUGUGAAGUCCAUUAAUGGCACCAUGAGAGGACCUAGCACGAGAACAAGUCCAGCACCUGGAGGAGGACAGAGCUACAAGAAUCAAAAUGGAGUUGGUGUCCUGAUGUCACCAUGAAUCUAUGAGUCAGGACUCCCCAACAGCCUGAAAUCAGAACAGUCUGUGGACAACUCAGUUCCGUGA